ACUCAAAGGAAUUGACGGGGACCCGCACAAGCGGUGGAUGAUGUGGAUUAAUUCGAUGCAACGCGAAAAACCUUACCUACCCUUGACAUGGUUCGAACUGCUCAGAGAUGAGCGGGUGCUCGCAAGAGAACGGAUACACAGGUGCUGCAUGGCUGUCGUCAGCUCGUGUCGUGAGAUGUUGGGUUAAGUCCCGCAACGAGCGCAACCCUUGUCAUUAAUUGCCAUCAUUAGGUUGGGCACUUUAAUGAGACUGCCGGUGACAAACCGGAGGAAGGUGGGGAUGACGUCAAGUCCUCAUGGCCCUUAUGGGUAGGGCUUCACACGUCAUACAAUGGUGCAUACAGAGGGUUGCGAAGUCGCGAGGCGGAGCUAAUCUCAGAAAGUGCAUCGUAGUCCGGAUUGUAGUCUGCAACUCGACUGCAUGAAGUUGGAAUCGCUAGUAAUCGCGGAUCAGCAUGUCGCGGUGAAUACGUUCCCGGGUCUUGUACACACCGCCCGU
rnacentral:rRNA from 1 species